UCGAAAUCGGUAGACGCUACGGACUUAAAAUCCGUCGACUUUCUAAGUCGUGAGGGUUCAAGUCCCUCUAUCCCCA
rnacentral:tRNA from 9 species